rnacentral:rRNA from 1 species
GACGAACGCUGGCGGCGUGCUUAACACAUGCAAGUCGAACGGUGAAGCUCCAGCUUGCUGGAGUGGAUCAGUGGCGAACGGGUGAGUAACACGUGAGCAACCUGCCCCUGACUCUGGAAUAAGCGCUGGAAACGGCGUCUAAUACUGGAUACGAGAAGGGUCCGCAUGGGCACUUUCUGGAAAGUUGUUCGGUUGGGGAUGGGCUCGCGGCCUAUCAGCUUGUUGGUGAGGUAAUGGCGCACCAAGGCGACGACGGGUAGCCGGCCUGAGAGGGCGACCGGCCACACUGGGACUGAGACACGGCCCAGACUCCUACGGGAGGCAGCAGUGGGGAAUAUUGCACAAUGGGCGAAAGCCUGAUGCAGCGACGCCGCGUGAGGGAUGACGGCCUUCGGGUUGUAAACCUCUUUCAGCAGGGAAGAAGCGAAAGUGACGGUACCUGCAGAAGAAGCACCGGCUAACUACGUG